AGUGAACGCUGGCGGUAGGCCUAACACAUGCAAGUCGAACGGCAGCACAGGAGAGCUUGCUCUCUGGGUGGCGAGUGGCGGACGGGUGAGGAAUACAUCGGAAUCUACUCUGUCGUGGGGGAUAACGUAGGGAGACUUCAGCUAAUACCGAAUACGACCUACGGGUGAAAGGAGGGGAUCUUCGGACCUUGCGCGAUUGAAUGAGCCGAUGUCGGAGUAGCGAGUUGGCGGGGUAAAGGCCCGACAAGGAGACGAUCCGUAGCUGGUCUGAGAGGAUGAUCAGCGACACUGGAACUGAGACACGGUCCAGACGCCUACGGGAGGCGGCAGUGGGGAAUAUUGGACAAUGGGCGCAAGCCUGAUCCAGCCAUACCGCGUGGGUGAAGAAGGCCUUCGGGUUGUAAAGCCCUUUUGUUGGGAAAGAAAUCCAGCUGGCUAAUACCCGGUUGGGAUGACGGUACCCAAAGAAUAAGCACCGGCUAACUUCGUGCCAGCAGCCGCGGUAA
rnacentral:rRNA from 1 species